rnacentral:misc_RNA from 1 species
CCGAGUUUACAACUCCCAAACCCAAUGUGAACGUUACCAAACUGCUGCCUCGGCGGGAUUUCUGCCCCGGGCGCGUCGCAGCCCCGGACCAAGGCGCCCGCCGGAGGACCAAUUUACAAACUCUUUGUAUGUCCCUCUGCGGAUUUUUAUUAUACAUUCUGAGCUUUCUCGGCGCUCCUAGCGAGCGUUUCGAAAAUGAAUCA